rnacentral:rRNA from 1 species
AUUGAACGCUGGCGGCAGGCCUAACACAUGCAAGUCGAGCGCGUGGCGGACGGGUGAGUAAUGUCUGGGGAACUGCCCGAUGGAGGGGGCUAACUACUGGAAACGGUGGCUAAUACCGCAUACUAUCGGAUGAACCCAUAUGGGAUUAGAUAGUAGGUGGGGUAACGGCUCACCUAGGCGACGAUCCCUAGCUGGUCUGAGAGGCUGAGCAUCCACACUGGAACGGAGACACGGCCCAGACUCCUACGGGAGGCAGCAGUGGGGAAUAUUGCACAAUGGGCGCAAGCCUGAUGCAGCCAUGCCGCGUGUAUGAAGAAGGCCUUAGGGUUGUAAAGUACGUGCAGCGGGGAGGCGUUACCCGCAGAAGAAGCACCGGCUAACUCCGUGCCAGCAGCCGCGGUAAUUC